GUUGCUCUUGUGAAUUUAAAUCAUCGAAACAUCAAUUUUAUUAACAUUUUACACAAUUUCUCAUCAUUGCCCAGAAACGAGAUAAAUUGUUACUAAAAUGAACUCUUCUUGCGAGAAUUACUCGGAUUGUGAAUGGUUUCAAGAUUGCGGUCCCAGACACAGAUGCAGAAUUUCCCAAUGGCACUUUUUAUAUUUGGCCCUCGGUAUGCUAUCCAUUAUGAUCAUUUUGGAUUCCCUUUGGAUCAUCUAUGACUACAAGAAAAAUGGGACGUUCCUACCACUCUUACGGUUUGGACGACGACUGCGUCGACUGCAUCGGAUCUGAGAAUUCUAUGACUAGUUAACACGAUUCCAUUUGUUCAUGGAUUACGUUUGGCGUUAAGUAAUUAAUAGAAAAAUUCAAGUUUGUAAAUUUUAUUGUAAAACGUGAAUUAGGAAUGUGUCUUUUACCUCAGUAAAAUUUAAAAUUCAACUGACCUAAGGCCAAAAUC